GUAAAGGCAAAAGAGAGCUUGAUUGCAAGACAUACAGGUCGAGCAAGGAUGAAAAUCGGACUUAGUGAUCCGGUGGUUCUGCGUGGAAGGGCCAUCGCCCAACGGAUAAAAGCUACCCUGGGGAUAACAGGCUUAUCUCCCCCAAGAGUCCACAUCGACGGGGAGGUUUGGCACCUCGAUGUCGGCUCAUCACAUCCUGGGGCUGUAGUAGGUCCCAAGGGUUGGG
rnacentral:rRNA from 1 species